rnacentral:lncRNA from 1 species
CCCAUUCCCAUUCCCGGUCCCCUCACCGGACGCUCCGCCCCCCGGCCCUGACGUCACCGAGCAAACCCCGCGCUCCUCCCGCCCACCAAUCCCAGCGCGCGAUCGCUCCUACAUUUGCAUAACCACGCCCAUUGAGGCUGGCCCCGCCCGCCGCCGGGCGCUGUUCGCUCCCAGUUCCCUCCCAGCGCUCCCAGUGAGAGCGGCACCGGCAGGGAAAGCGCUCCCAGUUCCCUCCCAGCGCUCCCAGUGAGAGCGGCACCGGCAGGGAAAGCGCUCCCAGUUCCCUCCCAGCUCUCCCAGUAACAGGGGCACCGGCAGGGAAAGCGCUCCCAGUUCCCUCCCAGCGCUCCCAGUAACAGCGGCACCGGCAGGGAAAGCGCUCCCAGUUCCCUCCCAGCGCUCCCAGUAACAGGGGCACCGGCAGGGAAAGCGCUCCCAGUUCCCUCCCAGCGCUCCCAGUAUCGUUCCCAGUGCAAAGAGGGAGAGAAGGAGGAGCGAGAGGAAGAGGAGGGACAGAGGAGGGAGGAAAGGAGGAGCAGGAGGGAGAGAGGGAGGAGGAGAAAGAGGAAGAGGAGGGACACAGGAGGAGGGAGACGGGACCAGGAGGAGGAACAGGAGGGACGGAGGAAGAGGAGGAACGGGAGGAAGAGCAGCAGCAUCAUUGCCCCCCGGACCCCGCGGAACAGAAGAAAGGAUUUCAUCAGAAGGCUGGAGAGGAAAC